UACGUAGGCAGCAAGCGUUGUUCGGAAUUACUGGGCGUAAAGAGUGUGUAGGCGGUGUUCUAAGUCUGUUGUGAAAAUCCCCAGGCUUAACCUGGGAACUGCGUCGGAUACUGGAUGGCUUGAAUCCGGGAGAGGGAUGCGGAAUUCCAGGUGUAGCGGUGAAAUGCGUAGAUAUCUGGAGGAACACCGGUGGCGAAGGCGGCAUCCUGGACCGGCAUUGACGCUGAGGCGCGAAAGCCAGGGGGAGCAAACGGG
rnacentral:rRNA from 1 species